UUCAGCUGCAAGUAAUAGAAUUCUCAACUCAUAUUGAGUUGGGCUCCUCAAAAGCAGACCCUGAGACAAGGUUGUCUGCAGCCCUUCCAAACAUUACAAGAUCUCACGUUGUCACCCAGACCGGAGUGCAAUGGUGUCAUCAUAGCUCACUGCAGCCUCAAACUCUACGCUCAAGUGAUCUUCCCACCUUAGCCUCCUGAGUGGCUGGGACUACAGGGUGGAUGUUGGUGUCUUCUAUACAGCCUGCACUCAGUGAAAUUCUCUUCAAAUAAAUUAGGAGAUUCUAUUUUUGGAUAUGAAAUAUCUUUAUCCAGUUCUGGAUGCUGCUUUAUGGCUCGAGUUUUUUUUAGAUUAGUGCAACCAUAUUGUUUCUCUAGUUUUUGAGAUGGAAUUUUUAAUAUCCACCAGAGCUUCAGGCUUUACAUGAUUCGAAGCAGCUCAUUAUAUU
rnacentral:lncRNA from 1 species